rnacentral:rRNA from 1 species
UACGUAGGGUGCGAGCGUUUGUCCGGAAUUAUUGGGCGUAAAGGGCUCGUAGGCGGUUUGUCGCGUCGGGAGUGAAAACACCGGGCUUAACUCGGUGCUUGCUUUCGAUACGGGCAGACUAGAGGCAUGCAGGGGAGAACGGAAUUCCUGGUGUAGCGGUGAAAUGCGCAGAUAUCAGGAGGAACACCGAUGGCGAAGGCAGGUCUCUGGGCAUUAACUGACGCUGAGGAGCGAAAGCAUGGGGGAGCGAACAGG